rnacentral:rRNA from 1 species
GAUGAACGCUAGCGAUAGGCUUAACACAUGCAAGUCGAGGGGCAGCAUGGUCUUAGCUUGCUAAGGCUGAUGGCGACCGGCGCACGGGUGCGUAACGCGUAUGCAACUUGCCUCACAGAGGGGGAUAACCCGUCGAAAGACGGACUAAUACCGCGUACACUCUAUGUUGGGCAUCCAAUGUAGAGGAAAUGAAAUUCGCUGUGAGAUAGGCAUGCGUCCCAUUAGCUAGUUGGUGAGGUAACGGCUCACCAAGGCGACGAUGGGUAGGGGAACUGAGAGGUUGAACCCCCACACUGGUACUGAGACACGGACCAGACUCCUACGGGAGGCAGCAGUGAGGAAUAUUGGUCAAUGGGCGAGAGCCUGAACCAGCCAAGUCGCGUGAAGGAUGACUGUCUUAUGGAUUGUAAACUUCUUUUAUACGGGAAUAACAAGAGUCACGUGUGGCUCCCUGCAUGUACCGUAUGAAUAAGCAUCGGCGAACUCCGU